GGUAGGUUGGCAGAGUGGUCGAAUGCGCCACCUUGGAAAGGUGGUUAGCGAGUAAUCGUUACAAGGGUUCGAAUCCCUUACCUACCU
rnacentral:tRNA from 1 species